GAACUGUUAGGAACAACGGAGUACAAAAAAAUCAUUGUCACCAGGGGAGUUAAAGGGGACAUUCUAACAGGGGCAUUGGAGACUUCGGUUGAUGUAUUUGUAUAGGUUAUGCAAUAAACACCAAUGUUUGUUCAAGAUACUAAUGAUAAAUGUUGGAACUGUUGACGUGCUACUGGUAGUUAUGUUCAUAUGUGGUGGGCCUGUAGAAAGGUUUCA